rnacentral:ncRNA from 1 species
UAAAACAAGUUCGGACGGAUCCGAAAGUCGUCGUCAUUGUCCCUAUCUACUAUCUAGCGAAACCACAGCCAAGGGAACGGGCUUGGAAUAAUUAGCGGGGAAAGAAGACCCUUUUGAGCUUGACUCUAAUCUGGCAGUAUAAGGAGACAUAAGAGGUGUAGAAUAAGUGGGAGAUAUUAGUCCUCGGUUUGGUAUCGUCAAUGAAAUACCACUACUCUUAUUGUUUCCUUACUUACUUGAUUAAAUGGAACGUUUAUCAUUUCCUAUCCAUUAUACGGAUAUAUUUAUUAUAUCUUAUGGUAUUGGGUUUUGAUGCAAGCUUCUUGAUCAAAGUAUCACGAGUUUGUUAUAUAAUCGCAAACAAAUUCUUUAAUAAAACCAUGGAGUGAUGGAUUUUUGAUUUAAAAAUUUGGUAUAGCUCCAAUUACUCAGGUAUGAUCCAACUCAAGGCGACUGGGGCGGAACAUCUCUUAAGAAAAACGUCGGUGUCCGGAGGCCAGCUCA